AUUGAACGCUGGCGGCAGGCCUAACACAUGCAAGUCGAGCGGAUGAAGGGAGCUUGCUCCUGGAUUCAGCGGCGGACGGGUGAGUAAUGCCUAGGAAUCUGCCUGGUAGUGGGGGAUAACGUCCGGAAACGGGCGCUAAUACCGCAUACGUCCUGAGGGAGAAAGUGGGGGAUCUUCGGACCUCACGCUAUCAGAUGAGCCUAGGUCGGAUUAGCUAGUUGGUGGGGUAAAGGCCUACCAAGGCGACGAUCCGUAACUGGUCUGAGAGGAUGAUCAGUCACACUGGAACUGAGACACGGUCCAGACUCCUACGGGAGGCAGCAGUGGGGAAUAUUGGACAAUGGGCGAAAGCCUGAUCCAGCCAUGCCGCGUGUGUGAAGAAGGGCUUCGGAUUGUAAAGCACUUUAAGUUGGGAGGAAGGGCAGUAAGUAAUACCUUGCUGUUUUGACGUUACCAACAGAAUAAGCACCGGCUAACUUCGUG
rnacentral:rRNA from 1 species